GAACGCUGGCGGCAGGCCUAACACAUGCAAGUCGAACGCUCCGCAAGGAGAGUGGCAGACGGGUGAGUAACGCGUGGGAAUCUUCCUAUCGGUACGGAAUAGCUCAGGGAAACUUGGGGUAAUACCGCAUACGCCCUUCGGGGAAAGAUUUAUCGCCGAUAGAUGAGCCCGCGUCUGAUUAGCUAGUUGGUGAGGUAAUGGCUCACCAAGGCGACGA
rnacentral:rRNA from 1 species